AACACAGAGUAAGAAACCAUCGAUGAAGUCGAAGCGGACUGGAAAGUCCCGACAUAGAGGGUGAGAUCCCCGUACACGUAAGUCGAUGGCUCUGAAGCGUCACCCCAAGUAACACGGAACCCCUGAAAUUCCGUGUGAAUCUGGCGGGACCACCCGUUAAGCCUAAAUACUCCUUGAUGACCGAUAGCGGACAAGUACCGUGAGGGAAAGGUGAAAAGUACCCCUGGCGGGGAGUGAAAUAGUACCUGAAACCAUGUGCCUACAAUCCGUUGGAGCCCUUCGGGGUGACAGCGUGCCUUUUGAAGAAUGAGCCUGCGAGUUUGCGUUGUGUCGCAAGGUUAACCCGUGUGGGGAAGCCGUAGCGAAAGCGAGUCCUAAUAGGGCGACUGAGUGGCACGAUCAAGACCCGAAGCGAAGUGAUCUAUCCAUGGGCAGGUUGAAGCGCGGGUAAGACCGCGUGGAGGACCGAACCCACUUAGGUUGAAAACUGAGGGGAUGACCUGUGGAUAGGGGU
rnacentral:rRNA from 1 species